GCUGCCGUGGAUGGAGACGGCUCCGCGAACGGAAUUAGAAAGGGAGGCGCGACUGCUUGUUCAAAUCCAGACCCCCCGUUUUUUCAGGGGUGUGGUCCUAAUUAUUUAUCUUAAAAAGUCACAGCAGAAAAUCGGUUUGAGUUGACAGUGUUUUUUUGAGAGGGAAACAAGGUGAAAAUCACGGAUUUAAAGCGUGCAGAAUCCUGUCUUUGCAGUAGGGAGAUACAAUAGGAUUACUUCAGGAAUAUGCAAAUCAUCUCAAUAAGUCAGAUCACAGGCUGCUGGCUGUGGUUGAUGAGACAAUUCUGCUCACUUCGCAGGAUAGAGAAUGCAAAUUAUCCAAGGUACUAGAUUGAAGAUGUGACGGAUUCAUGAUGGAAGAUGUGAAUAAUACGAUUUAAUGACUCAAUGUCUAUCAAAGAUAGCUAUUGAAACAGCGAAUACUGGUUUGUCAUUAUCAGUUACUUCUGACUCUUCGUGACUUGUGAUUUCAACUAGUAAGAGAUGAUUUGUUCAUCUUGUGUAACAAGAUAUUCUUAGACAUUUUCUUUAGUAUCACAAUUCAAAAGCAUAUUUUUUUUCUUUGUCUGCCUUUUCUGAUAGACUAGCUUUCAUGUUAAUGGGAAGAUUCUUGUUGGCAGUGUGUUGCCUCUGUACUUUACUACUGGCUUUUUGAGGGAGAAAAUAAUUAUUUUGAAAUCUUUAUUGUCUCAUUUGCUGUUUUUCUAUAUUCACAUAUUUAAACACUAUAAAUUAUUUUAAAAAAAUAUGUAAACAUUUAGCAAAACAACAAAAAACUAUUUUCAACUGAUGACAGUUUCAAGACUGGAAUCUCAUGAAACACUUUUAAUCAAUUUUUCACUUAUCAACAAGUUUAAUUAAUUCAUUUUUGUUUAUAGACUUAUGUAUGUGUAGAUAAUCCUUAUUAUACAUUUUUCAGAGAUGAUGCCAUUUCCCAAAAUAGUGUCUUGGGUAAUCUUAAAAAAUAAUUAUGUAUUCUGGCAUAAUCCAUUGGUUUGCCUUUGGUUUUGCACAUCAGGUUAAAUUGAUAUUAGGACUCCACAUGCUUUAAAAAUUAUUCAAAAGAAGCAUGUUCAAAUACUCAAAAGUUAUAGCACUAUCUUUUUGAAGCAGCUAUGUCAUUUUCAAGCUUCUCUGAGAACCUGAAAAAACCUCUGCUUUUAAUGGGCCAGCUCAUUAAAAUAAUUGCAUUUUGUUAAAGUGACCAAAUAUUUUUGCAAGCAUAUGAAGCCACCCCAAGAGUCUGUUUGCAUCCCCCCCAUCCACGUUUGCAAGCAUUCUUCCAAAUCAUUUUCAAAGCACACAUAGCAUUUAUGGAUAACCUCUGGAAAUUGCUACCAGAAAUUCCCCUUAGCAUAAUUAACAAAUUAAUUGACUUCAGUUGUUCAGUCUGGAUUGGGAUACUUUACAAAAGUAGGUAUCAUAUAUGUAUUGAUAUCAUACUGAGAUAUGAGCCUAAUAAUUUAUAAAGACCAGAAUCCAUAUUUGCUAUUUUGCCUAGAUGCUUAUUAAAUCUGUGACUGAAUUUACACAGUACACAGAAUCAUUAUGUCAUUUAUUUGAUUUUGAUUUACUGUGUUUUCAAUUAUUGUUUAUAAGCCAUGGUUUAUAGCUUAGCAUUUUGUGUGUAAACCCAGGCAGCUAUGAUUUAUUCAAUAAAUCAAACUAUGAUUUAUUCAAUAAACCAUUGUUUAGAAAACUACAUGGUAACUCUAAAUUUAUAUUCUAGACUAAUGUCAAUCUUAUAUGAAUUAGUUGGAAGGUCUCCCCAAAAUUUAGUUAUAUACUAGUUUUCUACUAAAGUAUUAAAAUUAUUAAUGCUAAAACUUAUGUAUUUAUAUAUUUAAAUUUUAAAUUUUAAUAUUGUUGUUUUAUCUUACUGUAAGCUGCUCUGGGUCACUUGAUAGCAGCAUGGAUGGCAUAUAAAUAAUAAAAUAAAAUAAUUGAUGCUUCUGAGUGCCAAGCCCAACCCCCAUAUCAUAUUUUGGAAUGAUAUAUGAACUUAUUACUUAUCUUUCUUCUACCUUUGGCAACAUCAUGUAUUUUCGAUAACAGGACCAAACUUGCAAGAUUCUAAAUAUGAUUUCAGAUUUGUAUAACACCUAGCAUUUCCUUUAAUAAAAUAAAGAUUUUAGACAAUAUAUGUAUUAAAGAAACAGCAAAAUAUUGAUACAGUGAAAUAUUAAAUACGUAGUACUGUAUUAGAUUUCAACAGCUACUAUGUAUUAUCUAUUGUCAUUUAUUGCUCUGCUUUAUUACUCUACUUUCUACUUUCUGAAGGGUCAUACAUAUCCUAAUAGUCUGCUCAUUUAAUAAGAGAAAAGUGCAGAAGAAGCCUCAAGGACAAUAAUUAAUUCUGACAGUUCAGUUUUUGUUGUUGUUGUUCAGGGAUGACACACUAUCUUUCUCAGUGGUUGCCUCCCUUUCUUUUACACAUCUAAGGCUUAAAUAUAUUCAUAAACCUAUGCCUACACAAGACUAACCACUUGCAGGUGAAUACUUAAUAAGAUUAUGCUUUUGCACACAAAUGCUUUUGUGGCAAAACUAUUCCUGAAAGAUUGAGACUCAGUAAAUCUCCUAGGAGAAUCUGUGGCAGGAAUACUGAUAUCUGGAAAUGGUAAAGGGGGAUUAUAUUUCUGUAUGUUU